UUUCUCUAUAGCAACAUGGGAAAGAGGAAGACAACUGACAUGUAAUUUCCAACCUAGAAUCUAUUCCCAAACUAUCAGCCAAAAUAACCAGUUAUGAUGGAGAGAAGGAAUUCCUACAGGAGGAGCUGUCCAAUGAAACCUGAACAUGACUGCAAAGCAUUUAAAACAUUUCUUCUAUUUCAAUACCCAUGUUAGGAAAAGCACUACUGAAGAGGAAACAGAUAAUGAUGACUUCUUCAGAAUAUAACCACUCAAAAGCACAUACACGAUGCCAAGAAAUAAACCAGUCAG